GCUUAUAAAGUCUGUUUGCACGUGACCGAACUGCCCGCGCGCGGUAGUAUAAAAUCUACUCUAGGUUUUGCGUGGAAAACUUUUGAAUGUAUCAUUCGCUCGUCUCCUAACAUCCCUUAAUGUGAGUAUUAGUUGUGUGAAAGUGAUGUGAAGUUUUUUUUAAAUCUGUGAGCUAGUCGACAGCCUAUUUGAUAAUCCCCACCACUACCACACAGCGAAGUCAACGGAAUCCUGAAAACUAAGGUUGACCUAUGGUGGAAUUGGCUGCUGAGACAUCCUCAACCUGUGCAAAGAAGUGGUUUUUCGUAUUGGACGCAGCGACAGUUCAGCUUCAGUAUGGCUUCAGCGACAGAAGAGGCGACAUCAGGAGCGACAUGAGGAGCGACAUCAAUAGCAACGCAGGUUCCUCAG
rnacentral:misc_RNA from 1 species